GAGAAGUACGUGUAGAUCGAAGGCAAGGGAGAGACGAGGGGGGGGAAACGACGGUCUUCACCAAUCCGCUGUCUGACCACCUGCUGAUCGAGCCGAACGACAGGGGGGUACGAAUUACCGAUGGGGAAAGAGAGGAGGGAGAAAGGCCAGCGAGAGAGGUGGAGAGGCAGCGAAAGGUCAUGUGUGGCGCUGACGUGGUGUUUUUGUCCCCUUUUGUCGCUAUUUAGGUCUGUAACAAACGAUGGGACGGGCAGAACGCAAGUGCAUCGCAGGCCGUGUCACCGGGUGUAUAUACACAGGGAGUCAGCGGUUUCGAGAGCGCAGUCCUCGUUCUUGUGUCAGUUUGUAAUGCAGGGCACUCACUCAAGCUAGGAGAAAUCACAGGAACGCGAAAGGUGUCUCGAAGCCCUCGUGUAAGGUAGCCGUUCACCUCCGGCGAGUGUGCACAGGACACUCAGUCCGACACGUGUAUCAGGCGUGGGCAGUCUCACUCGCAGCCCAGCUGCUCGCUUCCCGAAUUCCCAGCGAAGAAAUGCUCAGUUGGAGGAUGGAGACGCAAGGGUGAACCACUCCGUUGCUUUCACGACCUGGAACAAUGCGAAGGGUCUUGCACCAUGUCUGAACCGUCCUGGGAUCGAUAAAAAUUUUGGGUCAACGGAAGGAAUGCCAC
rnacentral:lncRNA from 1 species